rnacentral:rRNA from 1 species
UAGGGAAUCUUCGGCAAUGGACGAAAGUCUGACCGAGCAACGCCGCGUGAGUGAAGAAGGUUUUCGGAUCGUAAAACUCUGUUGUUAGAGAAGAACAAGGACGUUAGUAACUGAACGUCCCCUGACGGUAUCUAACCAGAAAGCCACGGCUAACUACGUGCCAGCAGCCGCGGUAAUACGUAGGUGGCAAGCGUUGUCCGGAUUUAUUGGGCGUAAAGCGAGCGCAGGCGGUUUCUUAAGUCUGAUGUGAAAGCCCCCGGCUCAACCGGGGAGGGUCCUUGGAAACUGGGAGACUUGAGGGCAGAAGAGGAGAGUGGAAUUCCAUGUGUAGAGGUGAAAUGCGUAGAUAUAUGGAGGAACACCAGUGGCGAAGGCGGCUCUCUGGUCUGUUACUGACGCUGAGGCUCGAAAGCGUGGGGAGCAAACAGG